rnacentral:rRNA from 1 species
GUUGGCCUUCCAAACCGCACCCCUUAUCGUGCUCGGAGACAGCGUCCGGCGGGCCGUUUGACUGCGGAGGUCGCCCCCUAACAGGUAACGGAGGCGCUCAAAGGUUCCCUCAGAAUGGUUGGAAAUCAUUCAUAGAGUGUAAAGGCAUAAGGGAGCUUGACUGCGAGACCUACAAGUCGAGCAGGGUCGAAAGACGGACUUAGUGAUCCGGUGGUUCCGCAUGGAAGGGCCAUCGCUCAACGGAUAAAAGCUACCCCGGGGAUAACAGGCUUAUCUCCCCCAAGAGUUCACAUCGACGGGGAGGUUUGGCACCUCGAUGUCGGCUCAUCGCAUCCUGGGGCUGUAGUCGGUCCAAAGG